AUUUUAGUGCCUGAAUAAAAGGAUCUUCUUGAUGAAAAGAAAAAUGUGCCCUCCACCUCUAUUU
rnacentral:tRNA from 1 species